rnacentral:rRNA from 1 species
CACGGUGUGGUUCAUGACUGGGGUGAAGUCGUAACAAGGUAGCCCUAGGGGAACCUGGGGCUGGAUCACCUCCUUACCUAAAGA